UUUAGAACCAAGUAUUUUUCGCUUCACCGGCGGGCGGCAACCUCACCUUAGCCGUCCGCCGGACCUCAAUCUAUUCCGCUUAUUUUCUACACAUACCUUACCAUCAUUGCCCAAAUCCUCUCUCUCUCGGAGGCAACCCAGCAACACCCACUCGGGCUUGCUCUCGGAAUGACUGAACUCGCAGAUCAGCAGAUCAGAUAACAACCAGGUCUCUAGUAGUUGACAGCAUUUACCUUCCAGCUGCUCCUUCUCAUCAUAACGACCAUGGUCCUUUCUGCUCUGGAGGUGUAGUGUUGCCCUCUUUCAUGCCACACUACGACCUACGAACGCUAUCCAGCACUCCGUCGGAGCAAAGUGCCGAAACCCAUCCCUCAAAUUCGGCACCGAGAUCUUCACCGACACCAUGACGGUCGCAUCCAGCAUCUGAUUCCCAUUAUCUAUUAGCUGUUGAUUGGGAAUAGAUGAAGCUAGCAAGAGGUGGUCUUCUGCCAACCCUUCGGCAGGCCCCGCAAAGAGAUCUAAACAGGUUGUCCAUGAGACCCUUAAUGUUGGCACAGACACUGCUGCUACAGCAAUUGCCCCACAUGGGCAUGUCCCUCACGCCACCCUCUUUCUCUCUCCUCCAACCCCACUCCACUUUCUUUUCUUUUAUUUUUCUAUGUAUAUGUUUAUUCUAAUCUAUUCUUCAAAGCACACCCACCAUGGUUUAUUUAUUACAACACAAAUCCUCACACGGCACCCCCAUUCCUUUUUAUUAUUAGAGACCUGACUUGCACCUCCUCGGCCAACCCAUUUCACUUUUCUUCUUAUUAUUAUAUACACCUUUUCUAUUCUACAUUAUGCUCCACUCACCACUAUCAUCACAUUUUCCCACUUUUUCAAACCCCCUUUAAUCAUCUCCCUCCUUUCCCUUACUUUCUUCCACCCACGAUUUCACCAUUUUCUUUUAUUUUAAUAUAUCUAUAUAUAUAUAUAUAUAUAUUUUAUAUAACAAAAAAAAAAAAAAAAAAAAAAAAAA